UACGGAGGGUGCAAGCGUUAUCCGGAUUUAUUGGGUUUAAAGGGUCCGUAGGCGGACUCGUAAGUCAGUGGUGAAAUCUCAUAGCUUAACUAUGAAACUGCCAUUGAUACUGCGGGUCUUGAGUAAGGUAGAGGUAGCUGGAAUAAGUAGUGUAGCGGUGAAAUGCAUAGAUAUUACUUAGAACACCAAUUGCGAAGGCAGGUUACCAUGUCUUAACUGACGCUGAUGGACGAAAGCGUGGGGAGCAAACAGG
rnacentral:rRNA from 1 species